rnacentral:lncRNA from 1 species
UGAUUCAGCAUGUAUCUCCAGAGAUUUAAUCAUUUAAGGUAGAUCACCAAGUAGAUGGUUGAGUUAAUUAUUUGAAUAAUCUACAGUUCAGACGCUUAAUAUUAUACUGUCAUAUUCCCAUGUGUGCCUGAGUUUUCUGCUUGCAUCUAUAGAAGUUUGGCAGAGCUGCAAAGAAGCUUGUAACAAUAUAAGAUAAAGGCAUUGUCAGUCUGUCAUUGCUGUGGCUUCUUCUGUCCCUAGGUUAAGCAGGUUGGCAUGAAGACUGUGGGUCUGGGCAGUCCAAUCAAGGCAGGCAAUCAAAAAAGGAGAAGCUGAGGCCAGAAGCUGAAAUAUAUUUGGGUGAUGCCCUCCACCCACGCAGAAUUUAGAGAAAGCCCAGGCUUUGGAACAGUGUGAGACUUUGACCCUCAGCUGUGCACCUUGAGUUGAAUUAAAGUAUCAUUUGGACAAAAGCCAGGUGGGAACUUAUAAACUGAAUUGCACGUCAUGCUCAGCACAUCCCAAGUCCUGCAGUGCAGCUACACAACGAUGUAUUUGCGAGGCUGACAUGAGGCUUGGGAGUUGGCCUCUAAUCAAACAGGUAUGAUCUACAUUUUUACUGUCUUCCUAUAUAUUCCCAAGGCUUUAGGCACAUGACUCUAGUCAAAGACAGUUUUUGCUAUGGCAAUUUUAUUUGCCAACAUACAUUAGAAUAAUGAAAAGUUAUAUACUUAUCCCCACCUCUUUCUGAAACCAGCUGUUAAACCAGUUGCACACAAUUGUAAAUAC